rnacentral:lncRNA from 1 species
GGGCACAGAGUUCUCUGCCAUGGCUGGGGACUAGGAAGUGGGAAAGAGCUCUAGGGGAACCUGAGGGCUUGGGUGGAAGACUGGAGAGCCAGGAGGAGCAAGGAGCAGGAAGCAAGUAAAGAAGCCGGCCCAAACCCAUCAAGACCAAGAUGAUGACAUGAGUGACCUCUGAUUGUCCUCACUGCUACACUCCCACCAGCCCCCUGACGGUUUACAGAUGCCAUGGCAACAUCAGGAAGUUACCCUCUAUGCUCUAAAAACGGGAGACACGUGAGUUGUUUCCAGUUUUGGUGACGAAUGCCCAAAUUCAUAGGCGAUGAUAAAUAAUGUGCCAGACGUUGAUGUGCAAGUUUUGGUGUGAGGUGUGGAUUCAUUCAUUCAACAAAUAUUUACGGAACGAACACCUCCUGCGUGCCAGGCUCCAUUCCAAGCACUGGGGGUUGCAGCGGCGAACAAAACAGACCCAAAUGCCUGCCCUGGUGGGCCAGGAAGGCAGAAAUAAAGAUGAAGAGUUGGUCAAGUCUGCAGCCUUCAGACCUGGCUUGGAAUCUGCAUCAUUGGCUCUCAGGCUCUCCAACCUUUGAACAAUACCAUGAAUCUUCCUGGGUCUUCAGCUUGCAGAAAGCAGAUCAUAGGAUGUCUCAGCCUCCAUAAUCAGAUGAGCCCUGUAAUUAUAUAAUCCUUAUAAUAAAUCUCACCCUGGAUCUCUCUA